GAUGAACGCUGGCGGCGUGCCUAAUACAUGCAAGUCGAACGCUGGAGAUCUAGCUUGCUAGAUCGAAGGAGUGGCGAACGGGUGAGUAAUACAUAAGCAACCUACCCACGAAGACUGGGAUAAUCUCUGGAAACGGGGACUAAUACCGGAUAGGUAAUCGGAAGGCAUCUUCUGGUUAUUAAAGGUUAAAAACACUGGUGGAUGGGCUUAUGGCGCAUUAGUUAGUUGGUGAGGUAACGGCCCACCAAGACGAUGAUGCGUAGCCGGCCUGGGAGGGUGAACCGCCACAUUUGGACCUGGGCCCGGCCCAGGCUCCUACGGGGCGCCGCCGUAGGGAAAUUUCCGCCAUGGGGGCAACCCUGACCGAGCAACGCCGCGUGAGUGAAGACGGCCUUCGGGUUGUAAAGCUCUGUUGUAAGGGAAGAACGGUAGAUAGAGAAUAUCUAAGUGACGGUACCUUACCAGAAAGCCACGGCUAACUACGUG
rnacentral:rRNA from 1 species